UGGUGGAGUGAUUUGUCUGCUUAAUUGCGAUAACGAACGAGACCUUAACUGUUAAAUAGCCCUUAUCGCUUUGGCGGUAAGCCGGCUUCUUAGCAGGACUAUCGGCUCAAGCCGAUGGAAGUUUGAGGCAAUAACA
rnacentral:rRNA from 1 species